rnacentral:misc_RNA from 1 species
AAGUCGUAACAAGGUUUCCGUAGGUGAACCUGCGGAAGGAUCAUUAACACGUAUCCAACGUUAAACAACCCUGUGAACUUUCAACGCUCUUGUAGCCCCAGAGGAACAGCAAUCCCGGUAAAUCAAUGGCGGAAAAGUUUUGAUUCGGGACCUCUGUCCAAAAGGUAUCAAGUUACAAUCGAGCAGAGCAGUGGCAUGGUUUCCCUAAGCAGUGCAGAAGGAUCCACUGAGUAAGGAUAACGCAUCACGGUUGCCGCCCCCUCAUUCACCCCUUGCCCUCUCAAGCCUCGCGGAAACGCCGGGCAUAAAAACCGAACAACUGUUAACAAUGGAUAUCUUGGUUCUC